UGGGGAAUUUUGGACAAUGGGCGAAAGCCUGAUCCAGCAAUGCCGCGUGUGUGAAGAAGGCCUUCGGGUUGUAAAGCACUUUUGUCCGGAAAGAAAUCCUCUGGGUUAAUACCUCGGGGGGUAUGACGGUACCGGAAGAAUAAGCACCGGCUAACUACGUGCCAGCAGCCGCGGUAAUACGUAGGGUGCAAGCGUUAAUCGGAAUUACUGGGCGUAAAGCGUGCGCAGGCGGUUUUGUAAGACGGAUGUGAAAUCCCCGGGCUUAACCUGGGAACUGCAUUCGUGACUGCAAGGCUAGAGUAUGGCAGAGGGGGGUUAGAAUUCCACGUGUAGCAGUGAAAUGCGUAGAGAUGUGGAGGAAUACCGAUGGCGAAGGCAGCCCCCUGGGCCAAUACUGACGCUCAUGCACGAAAGCGUGGGGAGCAAAGCAGGAUUCAGAUACCCUGGUAGUCCACGCCCUAAACGAUGUC
rnacentral:rRNA from 1 species